rnacentral:rRNA from 1 species
AUUGAACGCUGCGGCAGGCUUAACACAUGCAAGUCGAGCGAGCGGCGGACGGGUGAGUAAGGCUUAGGAAUCUGCCUAUUAGUGGGGGACAACAUCACGAAAGGGAUGCUAAUACCGCAUACUAAUAGAUGAGCCUAAGUCGGAUUAGCUAGUUGGGGGGGUAAAGGCCUACCAAGGCGACGAUCGGUAGCGGGUCUGAGAGGAUGAUCCGCGAGACUCGGACUCAGACACGGCGCGGACUCGUCCGGUAUGCUGCAGUGGGGAGUAUUGGACAAUGGGGGGAACCGUGCGCCAGCCAUGCGGCGUGUGUGAAGAAGGCCUUAUGGUUCUAAAGGGUUUUAAGCGAGGAGGGGUUACUCGGAGAAUAAGCACCGGCUAACUCUGUGCCAGCAGCCGCGGUAAUUC